AUCGCUUCUCGGCCUUUUGGCUAAGAUCAAGUGUAGAAAGUUUGGAAACAAUGAUCAUACCCAGUUCUCCCUAGCCCUAGAUCCUCCUCACUCUGAUUGACUAUGUAAACAUUAUUUUUUUAAAAAAAGAUUUAUUUAUUUUUAUUGGAAAGGCAGAUUUACAGAGAGACGGACAGACAGAAAGGUCUUUCAUCCACUG